rnacentral:lncRNA from 1 species
CAGGAUCAGGACGUCUUACGUGAUGGGGACGUGGAGAAAGAUCUUGGCGUUAACAUGCAACUUUAGGAUUACCCUUCCAAUAAGCAUAAGGCUCCCUAUCUUUCCAUCUUGUCUUCUUGUUCCCUUCAGUUAUUUCCGCCAACAAUGUCUCCCACGGUUCUAUAUUAGUUUCAGGCCUACCAAUUCAUCCAAAAUAAGCGAUGAUGCAUAUAUUACCCAAAUCAUAU